rnacentral:rRNA from 1 species
UGGGGGAUAUUGCACAAUGGGCGGAAGCCUGAUGCAGCAACGCCGCGUGAAGGAAGACGGUUUUCGGAUUGUAAACUUCUGUUCUUAGUGAAGAAAAAAAUGACGGUAGCUAAGGAGCAAGCCCCGGCUAACUACGUGCCAGCAGCCGCGGUAAUACGUAGGGGGCAAGCGUUAAUCGGAAUCACUGGGCGUAAAGCGCUCGUAGGCUGUUUGUUAAGUCAGAGGUGAAAUCCCACGGCUCAACCGUGGAACUGCCUUUGAUACUGGCAGACUAGAAUCCGGGAGAGGGUGGCGGAAUUCCAGGUGUAGCAGUGAAAUCCGUAGAUAUUCGGAGGAACACCAGUGGCGAAGGCGGCCUACUGGGCUUUAACUGACGCUGAGGCUCGAAAGUGUGGGGAGCAAACA